rnacentral:rRNA from 1 species
GACGAACGCUGGCGGCGUGCUUAAUACAUGCAAGUCGAACGGAAAGGCGCUGCGCUUGCGGGGCGCUCGAGUGGCGAACGGGGGAGUAAAACGUGAGUAUCCUGUCCCUGACUGUGUGAGAUCUCUAGGAAACUGGGGCUAAUAUCGGAGAGGAGCUCCUGCUCCACGGGGGGGGAUGGAGAGUGUCGGCGGUUGGGGAUGGUAUGGCUGCUUAUCAGCUUGUUUGUGGGGUAGUGGCUUUCCAAGGCUUUGACGGGUAGCCGGCCUGAGAGGUUGACCGGCCACCUUGGGACUGCGGUACGGAGCAGUCUGCAACGGGACGCAGCAGGGGGGAGUCUUGCGGAAUGGGCGGACGCCUGAUGCGGCGGCGCCGCGUGCGGGAUGCCGGCCUUCGGGUUGUGAACCGAUUUCGAAUGAGACGUAGAGUGAGUGACGGUAAUGGGUAAAGAAGCACCGGCUAACUACGUG